GGGCUUAAAGCGUGUGUAGGCGGAAGGGUAAGUACCUUGUGAAAUCCCACGGCUCAACCGUGGAACUGCUUGGUAUACUGCUUUUCUUGAGCCACUUAGGGGCAACCGGAACAAAUGGUGGAGCGGUGAAAUGCGUAGAUAUCAUUUGGAACGCCAAUGGUGAAAACAGGUUGCUGGGAGUGUGCUGACGCUGAGACACGAAAGCCAGGGGAGCAAACGGGAUUAGAUACCCCGGUAGUCCUGGCCGUAAACGAUGUCGACUAGAUCGCGGUAGCUCUGACGCUAUCGCGGUCGAAGUAAAAAUGUUAAGUCGACCGCCUGGGAAGUACGGUCGCAAGGCUAAAACUCAAAGAAAUUGACGGGGGCUCACACAAGCGGUGGAGCAUGUGGUUCAAUUCGAAGCAACGCGCAGAACCUUACCUGGGCUUGACAUGCUAGGAUUAUCUUGGUGAAAGCCGAGUAGGCCCCGCAAGGGGUACAACUAGUACAGGUGCUGCAUGGCUGUCGUCAGCUCGUGUCGUGAGAUGUCGGGUUAAGUCCCUUAACGAGCGAAACCUUUGCCCUUAGUUGCCAACGAGUAAUGUCGGGGACUCUAAGGGGACUGCCGGUGUCAAACCGGAGGAAGGUGGAGAUGACGUCAAGUCCUCAUGGCCUUUAUGCCCAGGGCCACACACGUGCUACAAUGGGGUGCACAAAGCGAACCAAAACUGCGAAGUCGAGGAAAUCGCAAAAAUCACCCCCCAGUUCAGAUUGGAGGCUGCAACUCGCCUCCAUGAAGUUGGAAUCGCUAGUAUCGCGGAUCAGCUACGCGCGGUGAUAUGUUCCUGAGCUGUACACAC
rnacentral:rRNA from 1 species